rnacentral:rRNA from 1 species
AUGUGUUCUAUGGUGACUCUGGUGGACAAUAUAUCUCCAAGUUGUUGCAUGGAAUCCUUGCUGAGCAGACUUUGGUUCUCUUAUCCUGGUGCUCAUGCUCAAAAUGGCAUGGCUGAGCGCAAGCAUCGUCACCUUCUUGAGACAGCUCGUCCAUUGAUGGUCACCGCCUCUCUUUCACCGCACUUUUGGGCAACUCUGUCUCCACUUCCAUCUAUCUCAUCAACCUUCAGCAAUCCACUGCUCUGCAGGGUGACGCUCCUUUCGAGCGUCUAUUUGAUCGUUUAUUCGGCGCUUCAAUUUUUUGGUUGUGUUUGCUAUGUCCUUGCCCCGCGUGAACGCACCAAACUGACUUCUCAGUCCGUUGAGUGUGUCUUCUUAGGAUACAACAUUGAGCAUAAGGGAUAUCAUUAUUGGGAUCAUGUUGGGCGUCAGAUGGCUAUUUCUCGGGAUAUGACUUUUGAUGAGUCUCAUCCCUUCUACCUGUGUCCAUCUUCCUAA